rnacentral:rRNA from 1 species
UGAGGAAUAUUGGUCAAUGGACGAGAGUCUGAACCAGCCAAGUAGCGUGAAGGAUGACUGCCCUAUGGGUUGUAAACUUCUUUUAUAUGGGAAUAAAGUUUUCCACGUGUGGAAUUUUGUAUGUACCAUAUGAAUAAGGAUCGGCUAACUCCGUGCCAGCAGCCGCGGUAAUACGGAGGAUCCGAGCGUUAUCCGGAUUUAUUGGGUUUAAAGGGAGCGUAGGUGGACAGUUAAGCCAGUUGUGAAAGUUUGCGGCUCAACCGUAAAAUUGCAGUUGAUACUGGCUGUCUUGAGUACAGUAGAGGUGGGCGGAAUUCGUGGUGUAGCGGUGAAAUGCUUAGAUAUCACGAAGAACUCCGAUUGCGAAGGCAGCUCACUGGACUGCAACUGACACUGAUGCUCGAAAGUGUGGGUAUCAAACAGG